rnacentral:rRNA from 1 species
GACGAACGCUGGCGGCGUGCUUAACACAUGCAAGUCGAACGAAGUGGCGAACGGGUGAGUAACGCGUAAUCAACCUGCCCUUCAGAGGGGGACAACAGUUGGAAACGACUGCUAAUACCGCAUACUGAGGGAGGGGAUUGCGUGUGAUUAGCUAGUUGGAGGGGUAACGGCCCACCAGGGCGAGGAUCAGUAGCCGGUCUGAGCGGAUGAACGGCCCCAUUUGGACUGAGACACGGCCCAGACUCAUACGGGAGGCAGCAGUGGGGAAUCUUCCGCAAUGGACGAAAGUCUGACGGAGCAAAGCCGCGUGAGUGAUGACGGCUUUCGGGUUGGAAAGCUCUGUUAAUCGGGACGUGGUACCGGAAUAGAAAGCCACGGCUAACUACGUGCCAGCCGCCGCGGUAAUUC